rnacentral:rRNA from 1 species
GAUGAACGCUGACAGAAUGCUUAACACAUGCAAGUCAACUUGAACUUCGGUUUGGGUGGCGGACGGGUGAGUAACGCGUAAAGAACUUGCCUCACAGUUAGGGACAACAUUUGGAAACGAAUGCUAAUACCUGAUAUUAUGAUUUUAGGGCAUCCUAGAAUUAUGAAAGCUAUAUGCGCUGUGAGAGAGCUUUGCGUUCCAUUAGCUAGUUGGAGAGGUAACGGCUCACCAAGGCGAUGAUGGGUAGCCGGCCUGAGAGGGUGAACGGCCACAAGGGGACUGAGACACGGCCCUUACUCCUACGGGAGGCAGCAGUGGGGAAUAUUGGACAAUGGACCAAGAGUCUGAUCCAGCAAUUCUGUGUGCACGAUGAAGUUUUUCGGAAUGUAAAGUGCUUUCAGUUGGGAAGAAAAAAAUGACGGUACCAACAGAAGAAGUGACGGCUAAAUACGUG